AUGACAUCUGGUCAUGAAAUCCAAGCUGCUGUUUGAUGAAGUUGGAGAUUAGGGGCUGAGGCUGUUGCUCUUCGGGCAAGCUGAUCUGGUCCCAUUUAAGUCUGUCAAGAUGUGUCACAUGGACCACAGGAGCUAGAAGAGCAGGCAGGUUGUCUCAUUCCAGGGGCAAAGUUGGAUCUCAGAGGGCUCUCCCAAGUCCACACCCUCAGCUUAUGUGCUUCCCGUCAUCUUGUUGGGGAUAACAAGAUCAGGAUAACAAUAGUGACUUAUGGGUGUCCGUGGCCACCUUCCAAGCUGUUUGUACACCUAUCAGACAUCGAAGGAUCCAGGGCUAGAGAUCCAGCAGAGGCUCUGUGCUGAUUGGACUGUUGCUCAGGUCCAGGUCAAGACAUCACCACCUGCAGCUCUCACUCUCACUAACUUGUGGAGAGAAAAGGGUGUUAAUGACGACCUUCUAAAGAGGAUGAGGAUGCAGUUGCGUUCUUCACCUAUAUAUUACAAGGAUCUGCAUGUAUGUGUAAUCUGAGAGAUGGGAGUAGUUAAGCAGAGUGGUCCUGCAAUUAAUCUCUUCUUAUGAACUGUAACUUCUUUCUACAAUAUUAUUUUUAGAAAUGUUACCACAUAUAUUUAGUUCUUAGUUUUAUAUAUUAAAA
rnacentral:lncRNA from 1 species